rnacentral:rRNA from 1 species
UACAGAGGUCCCAAGCGUUGUUCGGAUUCACUGGGCGUAAAGGGUGCGUAGGCGGUGGGGUAAGUCUGAUGUGAAAGCUCGCAGCUCAACUGCGAAAUGGCAUUGGAAACUACCUCGCUAGAGGAGUGGAAGGGGGACUGGAAUACUUGGUGUAGCAGUGAAAUGCGUAGAUAUCAAGUGGAACACCAGUGGCGAAGGCGAGUCCCUGGACACCUCCUGACGCUGAGGCACGAAAGCUAGGGGAGCAAACAGG